CGUGAGAGAUGAGGCUACAUGAAAGAAAUUAGACGGGGAAUUCGCCGUGGAGCACUAUAGCUAGCUUAGGUUGACUCCAUAUUACAGUACAGCAGCUGUCAAUCUGUCAUAGUAUGACGUGUGGUUGUUUGGUGACAAUGUAGGUACUCGAGGUUGCAUCAUUAAAUUUUCUCAAAGCUUCCGUAAAAGGUCGAUUGUUGGUCCCCUUACUAUAUAGGAACUUUGAUUUUUAUACUCAAUUCCUAAAUCAUUUAAAAUUCAGACAUCCAACUAUCCAUACCUGAUCAG
rnacentral:lncRNA from 1 species